rnacentral:lncRNA from 1 species
AUCCACAUCUUGAGUACAUGCGACAAUCUCAGGUCUAAGGACAAUGCGUACAUGUUGUGUAAAGAGAGAACUAUGUAACUCGCGUUGGGUAAGUCCUAGCACAUGUCUCUACACAUGCCCACAUUAUUAGGUUGACAUCUCCAUGUCCAUGACUUGCAAAACAUAGUCAUCAACUAAUACUUGUACUAGUGUAAUAUUCAUGUGUGUCCUCACAUGAACUCCGACUAGGUACAACUCUUAGAAUAAGCACACAAGUAAAGAGUUUCACACACAAUUCACAUAAUUGUAAAUCAAUUGAAGUAGUCUUUAAUGGAUAUUCAAGGAACAUAAUAUAAAAUAUGGAUACAAUGGAAUAUCAUUGUCUCUAUGAUUGCCUCUAUGGCAUACCUCCAACAGUCUCC